GGCCCGCUAGCUCAAUUGGCAGAGCAGCUGACUCUUAAUCAGUAGGUUCCAGGUUCGAGUCCUGGGCGGGUCA
rnacentral:tRNA from 1 species